rnacentral:rRNA from 1 species
UACGUAGGGUGCAAGCGUUAAUCGGAAUUACUGGGCGUAAAGCGUGCGCAGGCGGUUAUGCAAGACAGAUGUGAAAUCCCCGGGCUUAACCUGGGAACCGCAUUUGUGACUGCAUAGCUGGAGUACGGCAGAGGGGGAUGGAAUUCCGCGUGUAGCAGUGAAAUGCGUAGAUAUGCUGGAGGGAACACCGAUGGCGAAGGCAGUCCCCUGGGCCUGUACUGACGCUCAUGCACGAAAGCGUGGGGAGCAACAGG